rnacentral:rRNA from 1 species
GACGAACGCUGGCGGCGUGCUUAACACAUGCAAGUCGAACGGUGAAGCGCCUUCCUUUUUGGUGGGUGUGGAUGAGUGGCGAACGGGUGAGUAACACGUGAGUAACCUGCCCCCUUCUUCUGGAUAACCGCAUGAAAGUGUGGCUAAUACGGGAUAUUCUGGGUCUGUCGCAUGAUGGGUCUGGGAAAGAUAUUGUUUCGGUGGGGGAUGUGCUCGCGGCCUAUCAGCUUGUUGGUGGGGUGAUGGCCUACCAAGGCGGUGACGGGUAGCCGGCCUGAGAGGGUGGACGGUCACACUGGGACUGAGACACGGCCCAGACUCCUACGGGAGGCAGCAGUGGGGAAUAUUGCACAAUGGGCGCAAGGCUGAUGCAGCGACGCCGCGUGAGGGAUGGAGGCCUUCGGGUUGUGAACCUCUUUCGCCAGUGAAGCAGGCCUGCCUCGUUUGUGGGUGGGUUGACGGUAGCUGGAUAAGAAGCGCCGGCUAACUACGUG